CUGAAAACACAGAAACAGGAAGUUAAAGACAGUUUGGUUUAAGAAGAGUUUCCAGCAGAAACAUUCCUGAUGUGAACGAGCAGAGUACCUGAGAGCAGGAGCAGCACCACGGCCGCCAUCGCCGCAUCAGUCCGACGGUCAGCUUGUGACUUCCUGUUAACAGCAGCUCGUUCUGUAACUUCUCAUCUCACUAAACCACAUCGGCACGUUAGCCCCCCAUCCUGGGGCGCUAGUCAGUGUAAAGCUGAGCUCGGCCCUCCCACAGAGACGUUAGCAGCACCGAUCCCUCAGGUUAAGUCUUGUUUUCAGUAAAUUGCAUGAUCAAAAAAAUGUUUUGUCUCGCUCCCGUUUC